GAUGAACGCUGGCGGCGUGCCUAAUACAUGCAAGUCGAGCGAACGGACGAGAAGCUUGCUUCUCUGAUGUUAGCGGCGGACGGGUGAGUAACACGUGUAUAACCUACCUAUAAGACUGGGAUAACUUCGGGAAACCGGAUCUAAUACCGGAUGAGAUUUUGAACCUCAUGGUUCAAAAGUGAAAGACGGUCUUGCUGUCACUUAUAGAUGGAUCCGCGCUGCAUUAGCUAGUUGGUAAGGUAACGGCUUACCAAGGCAACGAUGCAUAGCCGACCUGAGAGGGUGAUCAGCCACACUGGAACUGAGACACGGUCCAGACUCCUACGGGAGGCAGCAGUAGGGAAUAUUCCACAAUGGGCGAAAGCCUGACGGAGCAACGCCGCGUGAGUGAUGAAGGUCUUCGGAUCGUAAAACUCUGUUAGUAGGGAAGAACAUAUGUGUAAGUAACUGUGCAUAUCUUGACGGUACCUAAUGAGAAAGCCACGGCUAACUACGUG
rnacentral:rRNA from 1 species